GGCUCAAUGGUCUAGUGGUAUGAUUGUCGCUUCGGGUUUGGCUGUUGCCACCUGGUUAUCCCAGAUAAUCCAAAUGUGACAGGCCCCGGGUUCGAAUCCCGGUUGAGCCC
rfam:Xylona heveae TC161 unplaced genomic scaffold L228scaffold_2, whole genome shotgun sequence.